rnacentral:rRNA from 2 species
GGGUUGUGAGGUUAAGCGACUAAGCGUACACGGUGGAUGCCCUGGCAGUCAGAGGCGAUGAAGGGCGUGCUAAUCUGCGAUAAGCGCCGGUAAGGUGAUAUGAACCGUUAUAACCGGCGAUACCCGAAUGGGGAAACCCAGUGUGACUCGUCACACUAUCAUUAACUGAAUCCAUAGGUUAAUGAGGCGAACCGGGGGAACUGAAACAUCUAAGUACCCCGAGGAAAAGAAAUCAACCGAGAUUCCCCCAGUAGCGGCGAGCGAACGGGGAGGAGCCCAGAGCCUGAAUCAGCAUGUGUGUUAGUGGAAGCGUCUGGAAAGGCGCGCGAUACAGGGUGACAGCCCCGUACACAAAAGCGCAUGUGCUGUGAGCUCGAUGAGUAGGGCGGGACACGUGGUAUCCUGUCUGAAUAUGGGGGGACCAUCCUCCAAGGCUAAAUACUCCUGACUGACCGAUAGUGAACCAGUACCGUGAGGGAAAGGCGAAAAGAACCCCGGCGAGGGGAGUGAAAAAGAACCUGAAACCGUGUACGUACAAGCAGUGGGAGCACCC